rnacentral:rRNA from 1 species
CACGUAGGCGGAUUGGUAAGUCAGAUGUGAAAUCCCGGAGCUCAACUCCGGAACUGCAUUUGAUACUGCCAGUCUUGAGUGAGGUAGAGGGGGGUGGAAUUCCCGGUGUAGAGGUGAAAUUCGUAGAUAUCGGGAGGAACACCAGAGGCGAAGGCGACCCCCUGGGCCUCUACUGACGCUGAGGUGCGAAAGCGUGGGGAGCAAACA